GACGGAGGAGGCAAGCGUUGUCCGGAAUUAUUGGGCGUAAAGAGCGCGUAGGCUGUUUUUCAAGUCAUGUGUGAAAACAUCAGGCUUAACCUGGUGAUUGCAUAUGAAACUGGAUAACUUGAGUACAGCAGAGGAAAGUGGAAUUCCUGGUGUAGCGGUGAAAUGCGCAGAUAUCAGGAAGAACACCAGUGGCGAAGGCGGCUUUCUGGGCUGUUACUGACGCUGAGGCGCGAAAGCUAGGGGAGCGAACAGGAUUAGAUACCCUCGUA
rnacentral:rRNA from 1 species